GAUGAACGCUGGCGGCGUGCCUAAUACAUGCAAGUCGAACGAGGUGCCUUUGUAGCAAUACGAAGGUAUCCUAGUGGCGAACGGGUGAGUAACGCGUUGGUGACCUACCCCAAAGUGUGGGAUAACAGAUCGAAAGAUCUGCUAAUACCGCAUGUGGUCUUCGGAUUUAGAAACUGAUGACUAAAGGAGCAAUUCGCUUUGGGAGGGACCUGCGUCCCAUCAGCUAGUUGGUGAGGUAAUGGCUCACCAAGGCUACGACGGGUAGGGGACCUGAGAGGGUGGCCCCCCCACAAUGGAACUGAAACACGGUCCAUACACCUACGGGUGGCAGCAGUAGGGAAUAUUGCACAAUGGGCGAAAGCCUGAUGCAGCAACGCCGCGUGUGCGAUGAAGGCCUUCGGGUCGUAAAGCACUUUUCUGAGGGAUGAGCAAGGACAGUACCUCAGGAAUAAGUCUCGGCUAACUACGUGCCAGCAGCCGCGGUAAU
rnacentral:rRNA from 1 species